UACGUAGGGGGCAAGCGUUGUCCGGAUUUAUUGGGCGUAAAGAGCGUGUAGGCGGUUUGGUAGGUCCGCUGUGAAAACUCGAGGCUCAACCUCGAGACGCCGGUGGAAACCACCAGGCUAGAGUCCGGAAGAGGAGAGUGGAAUUCCUGGUGUAGCGGUGAAAUGCGCAGAUAUCAGGAAGAACACCCGUGGCUAAGGCGGCUCUCUAGUACGGUACUGACGCUGAGACGCGAAAGCGUGGGGAGCGAACAGG
rnacentral:rRNA from 1 species